UCACGCUCUCUCUCUCUCUCUCUCUCUCUCUCUCUCACAAAAUCCCUCUGCACCUUCGCCGCCACCACAUUUUCGCACCGCCGUCUCCGUUUCCCGCGAAGCCACCCGCCCAGGAGCAGCCCCAAGUUUCCCACUUCACCACCCGAACUUCUCUUGGGUUUUGCAAGGAGCAGAAAGAAGUAUGGCUUUGACAAACUUCAUACUGACAGUCGCUGGUGUAGGCGCAGUGAUUCUUAUGCUGAGGGGUGAUGUGCGACAAUCAGCUACCAUCUUCAAGCGCAAUGUCAAACAUAUCCGCACCUGGCUCGAGGAAGAAUCCCCCAAAAUCACCAAGGAACUGGAAUCAAAGGUUCCACCGAAGGAUAUUCCAAAGGACAAGGAAAAACACUAGUGUUGAUACGAGCUUCUUGUGUUGUUCGCAACAGUUUACUACUCGUUUAUUUCUCUCUUCUAAGGAAAAGUUCAUUAUAUGAUGGCAUUUCUUUAGGAAUAAGUCUUGACCCUGGAUUUUCUGUUCAUAAAAUGUCUUAUCUUGUUUAUCGUAGUUGAUUUUUGGUCUUUAGAUACGCAUAUAUGUAACUAUUAACCGCGGAGAAAGCUAUCACCUGUUAAUCGGAUGUUUCUUGUUUGUAUUA